AGGGCCGUGGGCCACCGGCACCUUGAGCGGCUCGGGGCGUUGCUGCCCACUGGCCGGGGAACCCUCGGGCUGCCCGACCGGGAGCUGCCGGCAGCGGGGCACCGGCUUCCCGGGGUUUGGGGUGGCAGGUCUUGGAAAUGUUGCCACAGAGGUGUAGAACAGUUUCCACCUCUCCUUUCCGGGGGUUGAAACCCACUACUGUAGAGGCAAGGAAGGAAGGAAAUCCCAGACGGGAGCAGCUCCGACGUCUCUCUGUGCCAAGCACACUCUGUAGGAGGACAAGUCAAUGCCAGCUGCGUGUCUAAGCUAUAGCUAUUAUUCUAUUGUAUUUCCAGUAGAGGAGCAAACACAUGGAGAGAUGGAAAUGGGUUCUUUCUCUAGGAAACAAAACCAGUGACAUUUCAGCCUGGCCUGACUAGCAAGUAAUGAGUGCUGCCAUCCUAUCAACACAAGUUUGCCUUCUCUAGUGAAGCUCUUAAAUCACACAAAACACCUUCAGAAGCAAGUAAGGUAGGUUUGUGAUUCAUGUCUUGAUGGUGCAGGGUUUUAGAAUUGCAUUAGUCAUCUCAGACCUAAGUAAAGAGCAGAGAUUUCAAAAGCAGCAUCUUAUAUGUGUUCUGUUCCCCACCCCCUGAAUCUCCACACAAAUAAAGUAGAUUAAAAAAAUAAAAAGUAAAAUUAGAUCUAAGUUUUUUUUCAGGAAAACUGGGUCAGACAUUUGAGGAUUCUUGCUCUUAAAAACUUGCUGAAAUCUCAGGUAAAGAAAGUACUCAACGGCCUCUUUACCUGGGCAAAACUGGCCAGGGAUCUUUUAAAGUAAAGAGGUCACCUUUUUACUCAUUUUAUCUCAAAUU